AUUGAACGCUGGCGGCAGGCUUAACACAUGCAAGUCGAGCGGAGAUGAGGUGCUUGCACCUUAUCUUAGCGGCGGACGGGUGAGUAAUGCUUAGGAAUCUGCCUAUUAGUGGGAGACAACAUUCCGAAAGGAAUGCUAAUACCGCAUACGUCCUACGGGAGAAAGCAGGGGAUCUUCGGGCCUUGCGCUAAUAGAUGAGCCUAAGUCGGAUUAGCUAGUUGGUGGGGUAAAGGCCUACCAAGGCGACGAUCUGUAGCGGGUCUGAGAGGAUGAUCCGCCACACUGGGACUGAGACACGGCCCAGACUCCUACGGGAGGCAGCAGUGGGGAAUAUUGGGCAAUGGGGGGAACCCUGAUCCAGCCAUGCCGCGUGUGUGAAGAAGGCCUUAUGGUUGUAAAGCACUUUAAGCGAGGAGGAGGCUACUGAGACUAAUACUCUUGGAUAGUGGACGUUACUCGCAGAAUAAGCACCGGCUAACUCUGUGCCAGCCGCCGCAGUAA
rnacentral:rRNA from 1 species